rnacentral:rRNA from 1 species
UCCGGUUGAUCCCGCCGGACCCGACUGCUAUCAGAGUGAGAUUAAGCCAUGCGAGUCAACGUAGCAAUACGUGGCACACGGCUCAGUAACACGUAGUCAACAUAACCAGAGGACGUGGAUAAACUCGGGAAACUGAGGCUAAACCGCGAUAGACCAAGAUACCUGGAAUGGUUUUUGAUCAAAAUCUAUAUGGCCUUUGGAUUGGACUGCGACCGAUCAGGCUGUUGGUGAGGUAAUGGCCCACCAAACCUGUAACCGGUACGGGCUCUGAGAGGAGGAGCCCGGAGAUGGGUACUGAGAAAAGGACCCAGGCCCUAUGGGGCGCAGCAGGCGCGAAACCUCUGCAAUAGGCGAAAGCCUGACAGGGUUACUCUGAGUGACUUUCGCUAAGAAAGUCUUUUGACACCUCUAAAAAUGGUGUAGAAUAAGGGUUGGGCAAGUCUGGUGUCAGCCGCCGCGGUAAUACCAGCACCCCGAGUGGUCGGGACGAUUAUUGGGCCUAAAGCAUCCGUAGCCGGUUUUACAAGUCCUCCGUUAAAUCCAACUGCUUAACAGAUGGGCCGCGGAGGAUACUAUAAGACUAGGAGGCAGGAGAGGCAAGCGGUACUCAGUGGGUAGGGGUAAAAUCCGUUGAUCCAUUGAAGACCACCAGUGGCGAAGGCGGCUCGCCAGAAUGCGCUCGACGGUGAGGGAUGAAAGCUGGGGGAGCAAACCGGAUUAGAUACCCGGGUAGUCCCAGCUGUAAACGAUGCAGACUCGGUGAUGGACUAGCUUAAUGCUGGUCCAGUGCCGCAGGGAAGCCGUUAAGUCUGCCGCCUGGGUAGUACGGUCGCAAGACUGAAACUUAAAGGAAUUGGCGGGGGAGCACCACAAGGGGUGAAGCCUGCGGUUCAAAUGGAGUCAACGCC